rnacentral:ncRNA from 1 species
UAUAGGUUUGGUCCUGGCCUUUCUAUUAGUUAUUAGUGAACUUACACAUGCAAGAAUCUUCAUUCCUGUGAAAAUGCCCUCUAACCAUUAUUUGGUCACAGGAGCUGGUAUCAAGCACACCUCAGAGUAGCUCAUAACACCUUGCUCAGCCACACCCCCACGGGAAACAGCAGUGAUAAAAAUUAAGCAAUAAAUGAAAGUUUGACUAAGUUACACUAGUAUUAGGGCUGGUGAAUUUCGUGCCAGCCACCGCGGUCAUACGAUUAGCCCAAACUAAUAGACAAUCGGCGUAAAGUGUGUUUUAGAGUAAAAUUAAAAAUAAAGCCAAGUUUUAACCAAGCUGUAAAAAGCCUCGGUUACUGUAAGAUACGUGACGAAAGUAGCUUUAAAAUUUCUGACUACACAAUAGCUAAGACCCAAACUGGGAUUAGAUACCCCACUAUGCUUAGCCCUAAACAUAGAAAAUUAUAAACAAAAUUAUUCGCCAGAGUACUACCAGCAAAAGCUAGAAACUCAAAGGACUUGGCGGUGCCUUAUAUCCUUCUAGAGGAGCCUGUUCCGUAAUCGAUAAACCCCGAUAAACCCGACCAACCUUUGCUAAAUCAGCCUAUAUACCGCCAUCCUCAGCAAACCCUAAAAAGGAAGCACAGUAAGCACAAAUAUUAACAUAAAUACGUUAGGUCAAGGUGUAGCCCAUGGGUUGGAGAGAAAUGGGCUACAUUUCCCUAACCAGGGAUAUAUUACGAAAAUUUAUGUGAAACCAUUAAUCAAAGGUGGAUUUAGCAGUAAAUUGAGAAUAGAGCGCUUAAUUGAAUAGGGCCAUGAGGCACGCACACACCGCCCGUCACCCUCCUCAAGCAAUAAGUAUAAAAUAAUUCCUAAAUAUUAUAUAUAAUUUGCAAGAAGAGAUAAGUCGUAACAAGGUAAGUGUACUGGAAAGUGCACUUGGAUAAUA